rnacentral:lncRNA from 1 species
UAGAAGUAUCUGGAACUCGUUUGUUGCCAAACUGGGAAUCCUGAGGUCUCCAGAAAAUAUCACAGGAGGACUGCAUUCAUGCAUGAGAUUGCACUUCUUUAUGCAGCUGCUUGGGUGGUGGCACAAUUUUUGUUUUAGUUCAUAGGAUGCUGUUAUGUAGCCAAAACCGACGUGUUAUCUGGCCAUUCUGUACAUAAUGUUGUCCCUAGAAAGGAUUGGUCUUUGCUAAUCUUGAUUAAGCUUAGUAUGGUGAAACACACAUGAUUUUGCUUGUCGGGUCUCCUUGUGAUCGUUCCAUGUACAAUUGGCUAACUAGUGGUAGUUGUUAUCUAUCUACGUUCUCUAAAUUAGCCUAAUGAGUAACACAUAUGAUUUUGCUUGUCUGAUCUCCUUGUGAUAUCCUUCUAUGUACAAUUGGCUAACUAGUGGUAGUUGUUGUCUUUCUACCUUCUCUAAAUUAGCCUAAUGAGUUGAGUUGUUGUCUCUCAGUUCAAUUUUAUGUAUCAAGGAGAAUUUUGAAACCCAUUAUGUUGCAAUUUUAUUUCCCUUUCCAGUUCAGUUUUUUGGUUUAACAAAAACGUGUAACAAGUAUAAUCUUGUGGUGACUAUGGUAGUU